GGGUGUGUGUGCAGUCUGCACCUCCGAGGAGGAGGUCUGGGUCUCUCAAGAGAAAGCUAGCACUCAGGGGAGUGGGCUGGGCACAUUCCAGGAAUGUGGGAGAACCAGGAGAAGCUGCUGCCGAGUGAGCACAAGGUUGCUGGCUGGCAGCCCCAAGGAGCCAGAGAAUGCUCCCGGCAGAAUGCGAGGCCAUGAGAGGGGCAGGGAUUUCUACAGAGACAGUGGAGUCUGGCACAGGCCACAGAGUUUGAAGAAGACCGAUGCUGCUCUGGGGAUGAGUGCCAGUUGGCGGAGUCUUGAGAGAUGGUGGUGGCAUCCUUAGGAUGUUAGAGGAGGCCCAGGUUGAAGGGGACUUUGGGCAGGGGACAUGAUGGUGGUGGCAGGGGUAGGGUGGCAACCCAGGAGGGCUGCUCAGCACAAGUCUCACUAUCAGAGGGGGCUCCUGGCCUUCCCCCUGUUUCCCUGUCUGUCUUGGAGAAGGCAUAAGUUGGCCCAGCACUGCAGCCUGCUGAGAAGUUUUGGGACAGUGGUUCUGGUACCCAGUGUCAUGGCUGAUUACAGAGGAAGGGACACCCUUGAGGAACCUACCCAUUUGCCUGUGUAGAGUGGAGUCCUU
rnacentral:lncRNA from 1 species